UACGUAGGGUGCAAGCGUUAAUCGGAAUUACUGGGCGUAAAGCGUGCGCAGGCGGUUAUGUAAGACAGAGGUGAAAUCCCCGGGCUCAACCUGGGAACUGCCUUUGUGACUGCAUAGCUGGAGUGCGGCAGAGGGGGAUGGAAUUCCGCGUGUAGCAGUGAAAUGCGUAGAUCUGCGGAGGAACACCGAUGGCGAAGGCAAUCCCCUGGGCCAGCACUGUCGCUCAUGCACGAAAGCUUGGGGAGCAAACAGG
rnacentral:rRNA from 1 species